AGUACAAGUCGUAACAAGGUAUCCGUAGGUGAACCUGCGGAUGGAUCAUUACCAAAGGAUCUCAUUCCUUACGCAUUGUGAACUGUUUUGAACCACAGUCAGUUGGUGACUUCCCUGUCAUAGGGGAGGUACCCGGCUGGCUGUACAAACUAAACGUAGCCAUUUCCUUAAACUGAAUUAUUAUUGUUUAAUAAACAAAAAUAACUUUUAGCAACGGAUCUCUUGGCUCUC
rnacentral:misc_RNA from 1 species